CCUACGGGAGGCAGCAGUGAGGAAUAUUGGCCAAUGGCCGCGACGCUGAACCAGCCAAGUCGCGUGCGGGAAGACGGCCCUACGGGUUGUAAACCGCUUUUGUCGGGGAGCAAAGCGAACCACGUGUGGUUCAUUGCGAGUACCCCAAGAAAAAGGAUCGGCUAACUCCGUGCCAGCAGCCGCGGUAAUACGGAGGAUGCGAGCGUUAUCCGGAUUUAUUGGGUUUAAAGGGUGCGUAGGCGGACGCUUAAGUCAGUGGUAAAAUUGCGGGGCUCAACCUCGUCGAGCCGGUGAAACUGGGUGCCUUGAGUGGGCGGGAAGUACGCGGAAUGCGUGGUGUAGCGGUGAAAUGCAUAGAUAUCACGCAGAACUCCGAUUGCGAAGGCAGCGUACCGGCGCCCAACUGACGCUGAAGCACGAAGGCGUGGGUAUCGAACAGGAUUAGAUACCCUGGUAGUC
rnacentral:rRNA from 1 species